UCAGUCUCCUGAACUCACCUUGGCUGUCUCGGCUUCUUUCUCUAGGCUCACUCAGUAACUUUAUGGAUUUUGUGAAGAAAACAGGCAUUUGCGCUUCGAAGUGGGAAUGGGGGACCACUCACAACUUCCUGUACAAACACGGUGGCAUCCGGGACAAGAUAAUGAGCAGCCGGAAGCACCUCCACCUGGUGGAUGCUGGUUUAGCCAUCAACACUCCCUUCCCACUCGUGCUGCCCCCGACACGGGAGGUUCACCUCAUCCUCUCCUUCGACUUCAGUGCCGGAGAUCCUUUCGAGACCAUCCGGGCUACCACUGACUAUUGCCGCCGACACAAGAUCCCCUUUCCCCAAGUAGAAGAGGCUGAGCUGGAUUUGUGGUCCAAGGCCCCCACCAGCUGCUACAUCCUGAAAGGAGAAACUGGACCAGUGGUGAUGCAUUUUCCCCUGUUCAACAUAG
rnacentral:sRNA from 1 species